rnacentral:rRNA from 1 species
UACGUGAGGGGGCAAGCGUUGUCCGGAAUCAUUGGGCGUAAAGCGCGUGUAGGCGGCUCGGUAAGUCUGCUGUGAAAGUCCAGGGCUCAACCCUGGGAUGCCGGUGGAUACUGUCGAGCUCGAGUCCGGAAGAGGCGGAGUGGAAUUCCUGGUGUAGCGGUGAAAUGCGCAGGAUAAUCAGGAGGAACACCAAUGGCGAAGGCAGCUCGCUGGGACGUGACUGACGCUGAGACGCGAAAGCGUGGGGAGCAAACAGG